rnacentral:lncRNA from 1 species
CGGGAGGCCACCGCUUUCUAAACCAGGGCGGCCGCCCAGACUUUGCCUUCAGCGUCCUCCGGUGGCACACUUCGGGGCUUGCGGAGCAAAAGCCGAGCGCACGAGCAACUCGCUGUGGGUUUGGAGCGAUUGCGUCUUAGGGCUGUGAAAAGCUGCCUCGUGGGGACUUGGGGACGGACAGAGGACGGCUUAACGCCGGCAGGGACCGCAGUGCGACCAGCGGGCACCUCGCCGCCCCUCACCGCCUCCUCUUCGCGGGGCGCCGACUGCGGGACUGCUGCGGCAACCGGACCACAGCCUUCGUGCCUCCCGUCCCCUCCCCCGCGGCCACACCUCAGUCGCAUACCGGCCCCCCCCCCCCCCCCCCCCUUGUCCCCAUACUCGGCCGCCUUCCCUCCCAGGCGCCAACCCUGC